GAGACAUCCUGCCUGCCAUGAUCUCUCCUAUCAGACCAAGGCUUCGGAGAAACCACUGAGCUCACAGUGGCUUAACACAGUUAUACUCAAAGGCUAUCCUUAGCCAUAAACACCAUCAGCUGUUUUUAUAGCAAAGAGAUACCCGCUUUGCUAACUUCUGAGGAAACUUGGGCCAGUUACCGGUGUCUAGUGGGCCACGCCCACGUCUUCCAGGUCGAAAUGGCAUUCUGCGAAGAACCGCUUCCGGCUUCCUCGCUUCCUCGGCUCAGAGGCAAAUGGGGCAGAGCUAUCACACAGAGCAAAGUGCUUUCUUCACCCCUGCUGACUUUGCCACACAGGAUGCUAAAAAGGACACACAUUCAGGGGGAGUUCUACAAAUGAAACUUUUUCCUGCUUCCAUGAGGACUUUGGGGGAUUUUGCUGGUGGUUGAACCCAGGGCCUGUCACGUGCCACAUCUCAGCCCUCAUUAAGGACAUCCUUAGGUGACCCUGGCCUGUGUGUGCAUGCACGUGUGUGCCAGAGGAGACCUCAAUGGCUGUGCGGUGCUUCGGGGUCAUUUCCCAUUGCUACUAAAAUGCCAGCAGUUUUAUUCACUAGCAGAGCAGAUACCAACAAGAUGAAAAUAGGAAAUAGUACCCCAGAGGCAGAAACCUAGUGGUGACUUCUAGGGCACCUGAAGUGGUCUGGCGUUCCCCGGGAUACGCCGAGCACACACGGAGAGCCGUUACACAAAGGGGAUGGGCCAGUUCUGCGCCUCCUGAGGCCUGGCCAAGAAGAUAGACUUUGGGCAAACGUAAUCACACGUGAUCUGAUGAGUGCUGGAGAUACUGGCAGGCUUCGGGCUGCAAACGUCGCCAGGGCCUUCCCAAGGUAGGAAACUUUUGAAAUGGAUCUUGAUGGCUGAGUAGGAACUCCUCCAGAAAGAGAAGGUGAACCUUUAUGUUUUGAGUUACACAAGGGUGGGGUAGGGGUACUAACAAAGGCUUUUGGAGACUCUCCCAAAAAAAUGAUGAUAAUCGUGUGUGUUCAUAUCAGGAUAAUACCGGCCACGUCAUUGAGUGUUCAUCCUGUAUAAAACUGAAGCUCAGAGUUCACAUAUAGUCACAUAUCUCAUUGUCUCCACCAACCUGUGAAAGGCCAAGAAGAUUCCUCAAGGACACAUAGCAAAUCCACAGGGGAAGCCGAUAUUAAAACUAGGCUUGUCUGAUUCCUAAGACCACGCUGUUUCUCUCUCCCUGAGCCAGGAGAAAGAGCAACAUCCUGGCACCUUUGCUCAGACCUCAGUUUUCGUCUCCGAUACAGUUAGAGGAGCUUCAUUCCCUUCCGGCAGUCUUCCAGAGCUCCACUCUGCUCUGAGACUCACUCCCAAACACCGCAGGCCCAGCCCUGGGGUUCUGGGAUUCCUCCCUCUUGGCCAGACCCACUCCUGUGGUUGUGCCUGAGCAGUGACCUCUGUUGGGAGUCUAGUCAGCUUUGAUCCACAAUAAAACCAGCUGAUCCUGCUGAGAUCAAGUAGGUCUCCUUCCCAACCCUUUCUCUGUGGUCUGCCUAUUGUUAGUCCCCUCUGCAGCAGCCAGCUGACCCCUUCCCAAGGCUGUGGGCUCUCAUGUCUAGAGCACACAUGGACUUGGGUUCCUGCUUUUUUUGGUCUUGAAGCUUCUCUUCUGGUCCCUGUAAAAUUGGAACACGGGCACCCCACCUAAAAGGACCAGGCCCCAGGAGGAACUGAGUCAAUGUGCACAGGUCCUGACAGUUUCGCCAUUUUAAGCUCACCAAGUAGCUUGAAAUGGUAUCCAGACAUGCAGCUCUUCGGUUUUCCGGUAGGUAGGUCUAUUCCUGGAUGCUCACUCCCACCAGGCCUUCCGUGUGGGCCCUGUGCCUGUGAAAGCUCUGGAUCUAAGGAAUGUAAAAGCCCAGAAGCCUGACCCUCCAGUCCUGCCUAAACACUCAGCAAGCCGUCCCAUUUCUGAUUUUACACAGGAUCCCUAGGGGGGCUUCCUGAUAAAGUAGACCAUCCUCUCCUACUAGACGCCAGGAAAGCAUUAACCAUUGACCGUGUCCAUAGUCUCCACACUCAGGAGACUGAGGCAAAAGCAUUGCUGUGAGCUCCAGGUCAGCCUGUGCUGUGUAUGGUAGCCCAUUCCUGUCAUCCCUGCAUCCCAUGUCCAUGCAGAGACAGAAGAACCAGGAGUUCAAGGUCAUCCUCCUAGGCCAGCCUAUACUACAUGAGACCCUUAAAAAUAAAUAAAUAAAACCAGAGGACAAAAAACAAACAAACAAACAAAAACACCUCACCUCUGUUGUGGUCACUCUAACUCUAACAAGUGGCCCUCAAGAGCAUCCUCAGUCCCAGCUCUGACCCCCAUAGGGAUGAUGGGAUAUUGGCUGUCAGGGGACGGGUUAGCCUUUAAGCCUAGAGAACCGAGUGCCUUGGGAUUUAGGCUGGAGACUUUGUUCUUCCUACACGCUCUUGGCAUCAGGUGAACCCCUGAGGACAAGGUGUGAUGUGGAAACUUCAAAGGGCAACUUGAGAAAGCGUGUAACCCUGGAUGGGACCCCAAGAAGCUACUUCCCAGCAUUCCUCCUGCCCGCAGACCCCUAGUUCACUAACAAGGCAGACGCUCUCUGAGGACAUCCAGGGGUCUCAUCUCUCAGUGUUUUCAGAUUUUUUUUUUUUUCAGAUUGUACAAAGGUCUUGCUAGGGUGCUCCCAAAUGUGUUACCAUGACAACUAUACUAACAUGAGAUUCAAUUCCAGGCUUGCAUUGCCCAGUGUCAUAUUGAGCACAGGUUGCUAUGGGGUGGAGGGAGGAUAGCUAAAGCAUAGGCCAGGAUCCUUCCCAGAGAAACCCUGUCCUAGAAUCAGGAACUGGGGACCAGGCCCAGAGUAGUCAGCUUUGCCUCUUGGGUGUUAUUUGAAACACACCCGGGGGAAACUGGGACUUGUAUUUUCCCAGCAUCAUUCUCCAUCAGACAUUAUCUGUCCUGCAACUCGGUUUGUAGACCAGGCUGGCCUUGAACUCAGCGAUCCACCUACCUUUGCCACUGGAGUGCUGGGAUUAAAGUGGAUUAUGAGCCACUACACCCUGGCAAGACAUUUCUUUGUGCCUCAUCUCAUCGAAUUCCAUGAGACAUUGUGUCUUAUGUUUCAACUUUUCAUCGUGCAUAUCUAUUGUAUGUGGUACUGUGUUACAUAAGGGCACGUCCCCCAAAAUUCUAUAACACGGGGCCUGUCCCGCUCUACUCUGCCCUUUCUUCCUCACUUUCCCCUGCCUUUCCUCACCCUAGAAAUGCAUGCCUCUACCUUGACAUCAUAGACAACAUCGUAGGUGCCCAUAUGAUCUGGGAGCUAUAAGUGAGGGAGAAGAUGAGAUUUGUUCCUAGUUCACAGAGCAUUUGGACCCUCGUCGUCCUGGCUGAUUUACCAACACCCACACCCUUCAACAGAGCCAGAUGCCCAAUACAAGCCUGAUGACUGCAGACUCCUCCCCCACCAUGCUUAUGGCUGGCCAGUGUCCUGGGACUGUUCCUUCUCAGAAAAACGCUUUGGCCCUGCCUGUGUGGGAACAGGGUGCCUCAGAGAGACCUUGCCCAUCCACCCUCAGCAUCAGAAGAGCUUAGACACCCCUAUCUCCAGAUCAUCCAGAUGUGGGUGCUGUACUGUUACAAGACCUAACUGUGGCACUGGGGAGGGAAGAAAAGACAGACACAGAAAAGCUGGGAUCAGGUGGGCUGUGAGCUCUGAUGGAGACCCAGCAGCAACAACCCACUUACCACACAGCAAGACCCAGGAAGAGGCAGGUUAGCUAACCUGUGUGGGAGGUCUGUGUUGGGGGAGCAGCCUCAGUACUCCUUUAUCUGGGAGGAGGGAGCUGCAGUUGAGGGUUUCUGCACGUGUUGAUGUUAGCUAAAGGCCGACCCUCUGACAGUGUUCUACUUGGACCAGGGGAAGAAUUUGCCAUUCCUCUGAGCCUGGCUAGGGAAAGGCCUUGUCAUUCCUGUGCAGCUGAGGCAUUGGGGUCCUUGACAUGGCCAUGCUCAUGUCAACAGUACACACUCACUCAUCCGCUCCCCACACCACACUCAAUUUCCUCGUCCGCCACGCCCUUGGCUGCACCGGUUACUCAAGGAGGGUUGUCUCCAGAGCCGGGAGAGAAGCUCUCUUUAGGAAGGGAGCUGCCAAGUGGGGACGGUGUUCCAUUCCUUUCUCUUUCAAUCAUCUCAGAACCCAGAAGGUCAAGGGAACUAAAUGUACGCUCAAGUAAGUAUGUGUGACGUUGAAUGGCUCCCAUUUUCCAGAGAAAAUCAGUGUGGACAACCGCAUCGGCAGAUCAUAGCCACAGCUCCUGUUGACCUAAAGUCCCUGAAUUAAAUUCCUCGUUACUAUUAAAUUCCAGAUCAAAAGCCAACAAGGGUGGGGUGAUUCAUAAAGGAAAAAAAUGCAGGAGGUGGAAGAGAGGUGGGAGAGAAAGAAGAAGGAAGAAGAGGGAGAGAGAAAAGGAAAAGGGCAGAGAGAGGAAGAGGAAAAUGGGAGAAGGGGGGGAGAGGAGGAGAAGGGAGAAAAAUCGACCAGGAAGUGAGAGGAAGGGGAAGGCCCAGGAAAUAGAGGAGGCAGAGGUGAGGGCUGAAAGGAGGGGGCGGGGAGAAGGAGCAGAGGGAAGGGAACUUGUGCUCUGGGACGGGAGGCGGCUUAAAAUGAAAUGGGUGUGACAUCAGACGGGACACAGAAAUAGUGUUCUUUUGGAAAACACAAGUUCUGUUUUCUAAUCUAAAAAGAGAUCACUCCACCACACACACCUCCUCUCUCUGCCUGCCUCACCCAAGACGUAGGCACACUUGGCUUCAUCAGAUGUAAAAGACAAGCGGCACCUAGUCCAAACUCUGCCAGGCAAGUCUCCACAGAAAUCUGGCCACAGGAACAAACCCUGAAUAGAAACAAGCUAGACAAGCCAGGAACACUCAACAUAGUGUCAACUCACUGUCACUGUGAGAGGGUCGCCGGCUCCAGAAUCGGCAGCUUCACCUCCGGGUGACAAUACUCUGGAUGCUUAUCCAAGGACCCUCAGUGCUCACCUACCGCCUUGCCUGACAUAGGAGAUGGCACACAGAUAGCAGCAGCAUCUUGGUGUUCACACACACAUCAAACGGCCUUCAAUACCAUCGGAGCUCUUCAGCUAACCUUAGAACUAGCCAGAUUUCAGACUUGAUCAGGUCAGCCUCCAUUUGCAACAAUGUGGCAAGGAUUGUUAAUAACGGAAACUCUCAAGUUUCACAAGCAUUCUGGGUGUUUGUUAUUAGCAGUCCUGCCUUAGCAAACUGCAUCUGACCACAUCCACACCUGUAGUGUGCGUUCUGGCCUUUUCUCUGUGAUUCAACAUUAUGUGUUUACUCGGUGCCUGUUAACACAUCCCCUAAAACACACCGACAUCCCCAGGACCAGAGAGAUUUUCAUUGUGAUCAGCAUGGUUUCUUGAAUUUAACAAAUUAACACGAAUGAAUGAAUGAAUGAAUGAAUGAAUGAAAGAAACUGCAUUCAAUGCUUAAAUUCUUAACUCCCUUUCCAUGGGUAGAGUCUCAUACUUCUUAUUUCUAGUAAAAUGGUCCUGGCCACCAGACUCCAGGAGUCUUGCCAGUAUGGCCAUGGAAUGCUGGUUGGAACCCUAGGACAGAUGCAGGACUCUGACGGUCAUGGACUGACCAGGGAAGACUGGGCCAUGUAUGUGAGCUUUUCCCAGGAGACUGGAGAAUGGGCCUUCCUCGGAGGUCAUCUAGCCACUGCUCGGCCAGACUCAGCCUGGGAAGGGCAGCAUCACCAUGUACUCUCAGAAGGCAGUAGCAGAGAUUGGCCUCUAUACAUGUAUGGCUCUAGGUUGGAGAACCACCCAGUGCAAUGGUUUGAAUGUAAGCCUAGAAUUCAUAUAUUGGAAACAUCCUCCAAGUUCCUCUGUUCACAAUUUUAGAAGUGGGGCUGUCCUGUUUUGGUUUCUCCUGCUGAUGUGAUUUAAAAAAGCAAGGGCCCAAAAUAACUUGGGGUGGAAUGCGUUUGUUUCUUCUUACAGGUUAGGGUUCAUCAUCAAGGGUAGCCAGGGUGGAAACUCCAGGCAGGAGCGUGAAGCAGAGAUUAAUAUAGAAACUCUGCUUCCAGGCUUGCUCCUUGUGGCUUGCUCAGCCUGCUUUCUUACAGCACCCAGGGCCACCAUCUCAGGGGCAGUGCCACCCACACAUGGUGAAUCGAAUCACCUCAUAUCAGUCAAGAAAAUGUACCACAGACUGCCCCAUGAGUCAAUUGGACGGGAGGCAUUUUCUCAAUUGAAAUUUCUUAGUGUUCUUCUAAAAUAGCCCUAGCUUGUGUCAAGUUGACAUACAACUAGUCAGCACACUGGCUCAGCUGUCCUUUCAUGCAGUUCGCGUCAACCUGCCAAGAGGUGGUACUGUCCACAGGGGGGGGGGGACCUCCUCCAUCAGUUAGAAGUCCAGAAAAUGUCCCAUAAGCAUGCCCACAGCCCCAUCAGAUGCAGGUAACUCCUCAGUCAAGAGUCCCUCUUCCCAAGUACACCUAGCUUGGUGUCAAGUCGAUAGGAGCCGUUAUUGAAGUGAUCAGGACAUAAGGGUGGGUCCUCUAGGAUGGGAGGUACUGUGACUGCUUCCCUUGGGACCCUUCUCUUAGGGCUGAAUGUGGCCAGUAUCUUGUUAUUUAGGUCCCAGCUCCCAGCUCCCAGGAGAGGACUCUCCUGACGAAUCUGCUUUUCUGCACCCAGCAUGGUGUUGAUGUGGACUUGGCUUGUUGGCAGAUGUGCUUGAUGCUGGCUGGUAAGCUCCCAGGAGGAAAACUAUCGUGAUAGUUUGUAUAUGCUCAGCCCAGGGAGUGGCACUGUUGGGAGGUGUGGCCUUGUUGGAGUAGGUGUGUCACUGUGGGUAUGGGUUUAAGACCCUUAUCCUGGCUACCUAGAAGUCAGUCUUCUGCUAGCAGCCUUCAGAUGAAGAUGUAGAACUCCCAGCUCCUCCUGCACCAUGCCUGCUUGAAUGCUGCCAUGCUCCCACCUUGAUGAUAAUGGACUGAACCUCUGAACCUGUAAGCCAGCCCCAAUUAAAUGCUAUCCUUAUAAGAGCUGCUUUGGUCGGAUGUCUGUUCACAGCAGUAAAACCCUGACUUAGACAACUAUACCACUCUCCCUUUUGGGACAAGCUCUCUGUGCACAGGGCAGUGUGUGGCAGGCACACUGAGUAAGUUUGUGGUUGGUUACACACACUUGAGUGUAGAGCUCACAGCUACCCAGGGACCAAUCAUUACCAAGUCAAGUUUUGUGGGAGACUAAGCUCUGACGGUAUGACUUUAUAUGCAAGGUCUUGCUGUACCUACCAGGCAAACCCUGAGAAGUCACAGGACAAUUGUAUACUUAAAGGAGGCCACUCAGACAGGCUAAGCAAUGUGGGCAAGGCCCUAGAGGAGACAGGGUGACCAGAGUACAGGAUGCUCUCUUCUCCCCGAGCAUAUGGUUUAGCCUGUUCUCUUCCAGCUCAAAGAUGAAUGAAUGAAUGAAUGAAUGAAUGAAUGAAUGAAUUCUGUUGGUCCUCUAGUAAGUGUGGGUUCUAAGGUCAAAGGCUAGGACCCUAAGAGCCAUAGGCUGAGGCUAGAGAGGUGGCUCAGUGGUUAAGAGUGCUGGCUGUCCUUCCAAAGGUCCUGUGUUCAAUUCCCAGCAACCACAGUCACAUAUAAUGGGAUCUGAUGCCCUUUUCUGGCCUGCAGGGCCAUAUACAUUAAAUAAAUAAAUAAGCAAAUAAAUAUUAGCCACCGGCCAAGCCCUUCUAUAGCUUAGGGACAUCCACACCACCGUGUUCAGGAUCACAAAGGAACAGACCACCAUUUCAAUUAACUGUUUGGACAAGGUAAGCUUUAAUGCUUAGCUUAGUUUUCUUUUCUUUUUCGUUUGAAACAGGGUCUCACUAUGUAGCCCUGGCUAUUUGAAACAGGGUCUCACUAUGUAGCCCUGGCUAUCCUAGAACUCACUAUGUAGACCAUGCUGGCCUCACACUCACAGGGAUCUGUCUGCCUCUGCCUCCUGAGUGCUGCGAUUAAAUUGUAUUGGCUGGAUGAUGUCAUCACAAAAGAGGCAUCUGGGAAAUGGAGGAGGAAGGGGGAGGAGUCACUGCUCCCAGGAGAAAAAGGUCACUGCUCCAGGCCAUCAAAUUCAAAUUCCUAGAAGAGAGCAAUGGGCCUUUUCCUGGGAGGGGAGGAUACAGACCUUGGCAAGUUUUACAAGGUAGGGGAAACAAAAAACAAAAACAAAAACAAAAACCUCAGUUCCUUGUCCCAAACACGUUUUAUAGUAUUUGAUAGGAAAGAUUAUAUUUGAUAUUUUUUAACACCACAACACUUUUCCAGAAAGUUUCUUCUUAGGGAUAAUUAAAAUUCUCCAAUUUAGAGAUUUUUUAAAGCUCCUGGGUUAUGCAUUUGGGGUAGACCUAAGGCCAGUCAGUGAGAUGACCUCCUAGCUUGGAGUCACUUCCUCUCCCCAAUUCCAACUCUCCAACCUUGCAGGCCAUGGGGUCUGGGCGCUAAUGUGGGAUCAUGUGCUCGCUCGGCAGUUUGAGUACACCGGAAAUUUCCAUCUUAAGUCCGGAGUGCGUGCUCUCUGAUCCCAUUGUCAGGCCGGUGGCAUUCCAGCCCUCAGGAAGGAGCCCCCUCUUCCAGAUUUCUCUGUCACAAGAUUCGUUAAGUAGCUUUUAAAUUUCAUUGCCAAGGGUUGUCAGGACAAUGCAGAGAAAAUUGCCAACGAUUCUGAAAACAGCCCAUGAAUCUGGGGCAGAGCUGGCGAGAACAAGGGAGCGCCACCGAGGGGGUGGGGCGUUGGCAGCCACUUAGAUGAGAAAGUUCUGGGCUUCCAAACUUCUUUGGUUGGGAUCCGUGUUACUUUAAAGGAUCAACUCAGCAGCGGGGUUAGGUGGGGGUGGGGUGCCUUUCUCAGGAGGGAAUGAGGAUCCAUAAUGUGUGUGGGGGAAGGGUGUUGGGGAGGAGGUCAGUUCAUUGACCCAUUUUCAGUUCAGUAUGGCAAACUUGGAUUACAAUAUGGUUCCACCACAGGGGAGCAGCCUGGCUGCCGCAUAAAAACCAAUCCCGGACUCCAGUGUAACUGCAGGUGAACAGCCGCCCCGCCUUCCUGCUCUUCGUGAGCCAAUCCCAGACUCCAGUGUGACAGCCAGUGAGCAACCGCCCCACACCCCCGCACUUUGUGAGCCAAUCCCAAACUCCAGUGUGACUGCAGGUGAGCAGCCGCCCUGCCCUCCCGCUCUUUGUGAGCCAAAUAAAAGCAGUUUCUUCCCCAUUUCAGCUUCUUCCAUGCUCCUCUGAGUCUUCACCAAGACACACAUGAUCCGAACUACGAAGACUUCUCUGUGGCCUUCAAGGAGGUAAACGACCGGAACACAUUAGGUUUUGUUCAUCGUGAGUUGUCAUGCCAACUGUUCUUUUCCAGUUGGGUAUACCCCCAGAAGUUACCACUUACACCAUUGUACACCUCUCCGCACAAUUUCAGUAGACAUCAACCCGUUCCAAUCCCAAAAACUUAAAUAAAGAAAUUGCAGAAAUAAAUGAGCCAUGUUCUGAGCAGACCGGUGAAACUCUGCAGUGACCAUUCUAUCUCAGCUGGAAAAAGAUUCUUCCAUCAGACCAAUGUCUCCAGGUAGCGGGCACUGCACUGCCCACCCAGCUAGCCGCUCUCACAGCUAUCAGGUCCACUGUAUGAUAUGUUGCUUGUGUUGCAGGGACCAAGGCUUAAUGGUAAGGAGCUGGCUGUUCAGAUGUGCCAAAGGGAAGCUGGAAAGCGUUUAACAAGGAGAGAGACUGCCUGGUAAGGGUGCUGAGAUCUAUAAAUUAAAUACCACAGACUUGUUAUGUAGGGCUCGGGAGUAGCCGUAAUUUCUGGUGUUCUCUAGGGGUCUUGGAUAAUGGCGCCUGGGGUAUUAAUAACGUGGUAGAUUUGUGCUGCGGCUUUGUUUUAUGGUUCCUAUUAUUCGCCAAUUUUACAAUUUUUGUUAAAGGAAGCUCAUGUGUGCAAAGGCUGAGCAGACCUCUGCGCUAUCGCGCAGAGCUGAAUAUGCAUUGCGACUCCAGGAGAAGAGUCCCAGAGUGGGUGGGAACCAUCUCAGAUUGACAGUUCCUUCCUCCACUCCUGCUUCACCGCAGCGUCUGGUCAGCCUCAGGUUAAUGCAGCUGUCUAAGGCUUCUAAGGCUCUUGGCCACAUCCAUGUAAACGGGCUGCGGGUGACUCAAGGUGAAAGGGAACUUACUGAAAGCACACAGUGGCUCCCAGAAUGGAUGGAGAGGCUGGAUGACUAGGAAGAGCGCUGGAAUAGAAGCAAAGCGGGAUCUCUUCACAGACCCACACCAGCAACGCUAUGCCACUGUAGCUGUGACGCUGGCCCCAGCCACGCACCAGAACUGCAAAGGCUGCUGGGAAACUCCUGCUUCCUGACCUGCUUGAGUUCCAGUCCUGACUCCCUUUGGUGAUGAACAGCAAUGUGGAAGUGUAAGCUGAAUAAACCCUUUCCUCCCCGA